GCUUCUGUGGCUUAGUUGGUUAAAGCACCGGUCUAGCCAAUACGGAGUCGUGGGUUCGAACACCACCAGAACGCG
rnacentral:tRNA from 1 species